UACGUAGGGUGCGAGCGUUGUCCGGAAUUAUUGGGCGUAAAGAGCUUGUAGGCGGUUUGUCGCGUCUGCUGUGAAAUUUCGGGGCUCAACCCCGAACUUGCAGUGGGUACGGGCAGACUAGAGUGUGGUAGGGGAGACUGGAAUUCCUGGUGUAGCGGUGAAAUGCGCAGAUAUCAGGAGGAACACCGGCGGCGAAGGCGGGUCUCUGGGCCAUAACUGACGCUGAGGAGCGAAAGCGUGGGGAGCGAACAGG
rnacentral:rRNA from 1 species